rnacentral:rRNA from 1 species
GAAGGGGGCUAGCGUUGCUCGGAAUUACUGGGCGUAAAGGGAGCGUAGGCGGACUGUUAAGUUAGAGGUGAAAGCCCAGGGCUCAACCUUGGAAUUGCCUUUGAUACUGGCAGUCUUGAGUACGGAAGAGGUAUGUGGAACUCCGAGUGUAGAGGUGAAAUUCGUAGAUAUUCGGAAGAACACCAGUGGCGAAGGCGACAUACUGGUCCGUUACUGACGCUGAGGCUCGAAAGCGUGGGGAGCAAACAGGAUUAGAUACCCUGGUAGUCCACGCCGUAAACGAUGAGUGCUAGUUGUCGGCAUGCAUGCAUGUCGGUGACGCAGCUAACGCAUUAAGCACUCCGCCUGGGGAGUACGGUCGCAAGAUUAAA